UAGCAUUGUAAGUUCCCUGUCAAUGCAUGGCAGUGUGUUUGCACUUGUAACCUCUUCCUUUGUUGCAGAUUUGAGGCCAGAUCCAGCCAUUAUAACUACCAUAUAUGCUAGUUUUACUAUUGGUGCUGGUAUUCACCUGUCGUCACCAACAAUCUCAGUCUCAUCAUCACUUGGGAUAAACAGCAUCCUGUUUAAUUUGAAGAACUACCGAUGUCGGUCGAGUUACAAUUCUCUUCUAGUCUUCUUCCUCUUUUCUUAAAUCCCCUCUGUCGUGUACACCCAUGUGAGUGUGGGUGUAUUCACGAGUCUGAGGCCCCCUUUCCUAUUCCUCCUGAUGUCUUCAACUUUUCAAGAUGGAUGGAGCAAUUUUGGAUGCCUGGCCGUAUAUCCCAGGCAUAAAGGCAAAGCGAUACAUGGGAUAACACCAUCGGUGGUGAGCGUCUGUACGC